UGACCGAUAGUGAACCAGUACCGUGAGGGAAAGGCGAAAAGAACCCCGGCGAGGGGAGUGAAAAAGAACCUGAAACCGUGUACGUACAAGCAGUGGGAGCACAGAGCAAUCUGUGUGACUGCGUACCUUUUGUAUAAUGGGUCAGCGACUUAUAUUCUGUAGCAAGGUUAACCGAAUAGGGGAGCCGAAGGGAAACCGAGUCUUAACUGGGCGU
rnacentral:rRNA from 1 species